rnacentral:rRNA from 1 species
CGGACGGGGUGAGUAAUGUCUGGGAAACUGCCCGAUGGAGGGGGAUAACUACUGGAAACGGUAGCUAAUACCGCAUAACGUCGCAAGACCAAAGAGGGGACCUUAGGGCCUCUUGCCAUCGGAUGUGCCCAGAUGGGAUUAGCUAGUAGGUGGGGUAAUGGCUCACCUAGGCGACGAUCCCUAGCUGGUCUGAGAGGAUGACCAGCCACACUGGAACUGAGACACGGUCCAG